AAAUAUCCCAAGGGGAGCUCCAUAAAUCCGGGGCUGAGAGGAAGGUGGAAACCUUCGACCCUUAGAACCUGAACCGGGUAAUACCGGCGGAGGGAUGGGAUGCAAAAUCCCU
rnacentral:ncRNA from 2 species